rnacentral:misc_RNA from 1 species
CUGAACCUGUGCAGGGGCAGAUUGAGCUUUCUCACUCUCAUAAUUAUCGGGUAGAAAACUAUGUGCACCAAGUGCCUUCUUUACCAGUGUAGCUGUCAUGCCCAUGCUAUUUGGAUUGAACUUCUGCAAAUGAAGUAUAUGUCAUGCAAUGUAGCAAUAAAUAAAACCAAUUGACAUGAGACAACAAUAUCAACCCAAAUAAAUAACAUGCUUAAACAAAAGAACACAUUACAGAGAAAGCAACUUGUGGUGAAAGCAAAAAAAAGCAAACAGUUUUAGCUCACUAGCCAUGCCAGCACUCUCAUCUUAGAUACCAUCACUAUAUUUCAAAUUGAAACUGCUUAGCCCAAAAAAUAAUAAUAAUAAUAAUGUUUAUGUCAGAAUUCUGCGGAUUUAUAUUACCAAGUUAACAUGAAAACAGAAGAAAUUUGAUCCAUUGCAAGCCCCAUCCCCAAAAUUUUAUAAAGCAAUUGUCAAUUACUCAAUUACCACAAAUCAAAAAUCAUUUGCUUCAGUUGCUACUCUUAGCAUCCAAGCAUUUAAUUUGCUGUAGAGGAAACCUACCCGACUUUCUAGUAUGCCUCCCUUCGUUUAGGGAAUAUUUUUUUUCUUUUCUUCCU